AGCAGCCGCGGUAAUUCCAGCUCCAAUAGCGUAUAUUAAAGUUGUUGCAGUUAAAAGCUGUAGUUGAAUUUUAGGCCUGGCCGGAUGGUCCGUCUUUGGCGAGUACUGUUCUGUCGUCGGUCUAUCCUUCUGGUGAGCCGGGAUGCCCUUUAUUGGGUGUGUCGGGGAACCAGGACCUUACCUUGAAAAAAUUAGAGUGUUUAAAGCGGGCAUUUGCUUGAAUAG
rnacentral:rRNA from 1 species